rnacentral:tRNA from 1 species
GCGGUUGUAGCUCAGUAGGUCAGAGCGUCUCCUUGCCAAGGAGAAGGUCGCCGGUUCGAAGCCGGCCAGCCGCU